rnacentral:rRNA from 1 species
UACGUAGGGUGCGAGCGUUAAUCGGAAUUACUGGGCGUAAAGGGUGCGUAGGCGGUUUGAUAAGUCUGAUGUGAAAUCCCCGGGCUCAACCUGGGAACGGCAUUGGAGACUGUCAAGCUAGAGUGCGUCAGAGGGGGGUAGAAUUCCACGUGUAGCAGUGAAAUGCGUAGAGAUGUGGAGGAAUACCGAUGGCGAAGGCAGCCCCCUGGGAUGACACUGACGCUGAAGCACGAAAGCGUGGGGAGCAAACAGG